CCUACGGGUGGCAGCAGUGAGGAAUAUUGGUCAAUGGACGAGAGUCUGAACCAGCCAAGUAGCGUGAAGGAUGACUGCCCUAUGGGUUGUAAACUUCUUUUAUAUGGGAAUAAAAUGUUCCACGUGUGGGAUUUUGUAUGUCCCAUAUGAAUAAGGAUCGGCUAACUCCGUGCCAGCAGCCGCGGUAAUACGGAGGAUCCGAGCGUUAUCCGGAUUUAUUGGGUUUAAAGGGAGCGUAGGUGGAUUGGUAAGUCAGUUGUGAAAGUUUGCGGCUCAACCGUAAAAUUGCAGUUGAAACUGGCAGUCUUGAGUACAGUAGAGGUGGGCGGAAUUCGUGGUGUAGCGGUGAAAUGCUUAGAUAUCACGAAGAACUCCGAUUGCGAAGGCAGUUCACUGGACUGCAACUGACACUGAGGCUCGAAAGUGUGGGUAUCAAACAGGAUUAGAUACCCUGGUAGUC
rnacentral:rRNA from 1 species